rnacentral:rRNA from 1 species
UGGGGAAUUUUGGACAAUGGGCGAAAGCCUGAUCCAGCAAUGCCGCGUGUGUGAAGAAGGCCUUCGGGUUGUAAAGCACUUUUGUCCGGAAAGAAAUCCUUGGCUCUAAUACAGUCGGGGGAUGACGGUACCGGAAGAAUAAGCACCGGCUAACUACGUGCCAGCAGCCGCGGUAAUACGUAGGGUGCAAGCGUUAAUCGGAAUUACUGGGCGUAAAGCGUGCGCAGGCGGUUUGCUAAGACCGAUGUGAAAUCCCCGGGCUCAACCUGGGAACUGCAUUGGUGACCGGCAGGCUAGAGUAUGGCAGAGGGGGGUAGAAUUCCACGUGUAGCAGUGAAAUGCGUAGAGAUGUGGAGGAAUACCGAUGGCGAAGGCAGCCCCCUGGGCCAAUACUGACGCUCAUGCACGAAAGCGUGGGGAGCAAACAGGAUUAGAUACCCUGGUAGUCCACGCCCUAAACGAUGUCAACUAGUUGUUGGGGAUUCAUUUUCCUUAGUAACGUAGCUAACGCGUGAAGUUGACCGCCUGGGGAGUACGGUCGCAAGAUUAAAAACUCAAAUGAAUUGAC